GCCUAGGAUAGGCAUCGGGCAUCAACGUACCAACACUUCUGAAAAUAUCCACGCUGGAAGGACCAUCAGCUUCGCAUCGAGGGAACACGAUGGACAUCUCGAGCAGCCUGAGAGGAGGUGGAGGCCUAGGAGAGGCAUCGGGCAUCGGCGUACUUAACACUUCUGAAAAUAUCCACGCAGGAAGGAGUAUCUUCGCAUCGAGGAAACAGUAAC